AGAUCGGCGUUGCCACUUCAAAAAUUUUUCUCAAGGUCCUUAGAAAUUAUUGCAUUAUGUUAAAUGGAAUAAUUUCUAGGGACCCUGAUAAAAAAAUUUCCAGCGGCAACGCUGCAGGAAUUUCGUGGAUGUGGUACUCCUACUCUUAUUCCGAGAGCUCGGAACAAUUGAACUUUGAUGGACGCUCCACUUCUCUGCCAUUUUGUUACUAACUCUUGAGGUGUACGGUUGCUUCUUUUAAGAAGUUUCAGUCAUGUUGGAUGAUAGCUGCGAUGCAAGUCACAACGAAGUGCAGUUUUCAGAACACGUGGAUGUCGAAGCUUAUAGUAGGUGUUUUAAUGUUAGCUGAGUUGGAUCUUAACAGAAUAAAAAUGUGAAUCAAUAUUACAAUUGACGUUGGACUUUAUUAGUCAUACAAGAUGACUUCAACGGUAAUCAGAGAAAUAAGGAAUCAAAUUCAUCUUGAAGAUUUUUUUAAGUACUGAUAUAGAUAUCUAAAGUAAUAUAUCCGCUGAAUUAACUAAAACAUGAAGAAAGUGAUCAACUGAUCAAUAUUUAUUAUCUUGCAAUUCACGAUAUUUUAGGCUGACAGAAAUGCAGAAAUGGCAAUAGUUUCAUUGGUUUAAUUGACUUUGGAAUUAUAUUGGCGCAUCACUAGGCAAGUGAAUCAGUAUUAAUGAAAGAAAGAUAUAUUAUAUGGCAGUUUGUGCAAUGAGUCCUACUACACUGUUGUUUUGCCCUGCUGUAAGAACAGAAGCAAUCCCAAUAGAAAAUGCCAUUUUAUAAUUAUUGUCACUGAGUGACUAUUGUGUGUUUGGUAUUAUGCAAAUAAACUAUUUUUCAUAA